GACGAACGCUGGCGGCGUGCUUAACACAUGCAAGUCGAACGGAAAGGCCCCUUUGGGGGUACUCGAGUGGCGAACGGGUGAGUAACACGUGAGUAACCUGCCCUUGACUUCGGGAUAACUUCAGGAAACUGGGGCUAAUACCGGAUAGGAAUCCUUGCUGCAUGGUGGGGGUUGGAAAGCUUCGGCGGUUUUGGAUGGACUCGCGGCUUAUCAGCUUGUUGGUGGGGUAGUGGCUCACCAAGGCUUUGACGGGUAGCCGGCCUGAGAGGGCGACCGGCCACAUUGGGACUGAGAUACGGCCCAGACUCCUACGGGAGGCAGCAGUGGGGAAUAUUGCACAAUGGGCGGAAGCCUGAUGCAGCAACGCCGCGUGCGGGAUGACGGCCUUCGGGUUGUAAACCGCUUUCAGCAGGGGCGAAGCUUUUGUGACGGUACCUGCAGAAGAAGCACCGGCUAACUACGUG
rnacentral:rRNA from 1 species